AUGUUGCAGUUAUUAUCUAUUUAAUUAAUUGGUCAUUUAUUGGAACAGUUUGACUCGGCCGAUUGCGCUAGCACAUAACAGACGGCUUUUAGAUUUUGUCAUAGAGCUAGUUCUCAAACUCAUGGAGUAACUUAGGGGUGUGAAACUGCUUAACAGAGUAACCGGAUCUAACCGAUGGGUCUAGGAUAAGCAUGAAGGCAACGGACGAGGGCUAUAUAAUUGUUUCGCGGCCCUUCCACGCGCUAUUCCAAUACAAGUCGGGAACAAUCGCUCUUCUUCUUCUCUCCUCCUCCUUGCUCCCGCCUCGCCGACGACUCCGAAACCUACAGAGCCGAAGUGCGAACGAAACCCUAAGUGUGAUGAAGGAUCGGAUCCCUCUUCCACUCCCUUUAUCGAAUCCUCAAUUUGAGCACAUUGAUCUCGAUCUCGAACUCUGUUGUCGAUUUGAGAUCAAAGGAUCCCUGAUCAAUGAAAGUCUGAGUACGUUUUAACCUUAAGAAAGCGAGAUGAUUCUUUGAGGUGAACUAUAUCAUUCAAUGCUUGAUCUUGAUUCUGCUGCGUUUGAUUUUGUUGCUGCUUUUAUUCAUGAUUCAUGAACUUGCUGUUUGAAGGAAAAGAUUGAGGAAUUUGCAGAGUUUUGCACCUGGAGAAGAAGGAAUCUGAUUUUUUUAAAUUUCGAAAUAACUUUCUAUAUUACUCCUAAGUUUACUUUCUAGUACUAUUUCACAGUUCCAGCUGAAUUUACUUGCAGGUAUCUGAUUGAUAAACGAACGAGAAGAAGAGAAAGGUUUAGCUGGUAAAUCUGAUGCUUCAACCGAACUUUGAGAAAUAGGCGACUCUUUUCAUCUGAUGUGCUAUUGUGUUUGUGAAUUUCAGAAAAGCCAAUGAAAAAGUUUCUAGUUUCAAAUAGUUUAGACAGAGCUCUCUAGUCCAAAAUAUAUAUGAAUUCUGUGCAUGGUUCUAUCUUAACAUCGCUUGUAGGCACGCAGGACAAGGGGUUUAUGUAUUGUCUCCUUAGUGACUAACAAUUGAAAAUUUGUUAAAGGAUUUACCUAUAUAGGCUAUCUAACCUCAUCACGAGUCUGAGGCAAAACAUCUUGCUUCUACUAUUUGAUUGGCUUUGUUGUGUUUAAUUACUCUGAAGAUUAUCUGAUUUAUGUGCUGUUUAUGUUGGUGCUAGCAUGGUGAUAGUGUUAUUACAGGGAAAUAAAGUAUAUUCUUCUUCCAGGCAUGCAAACUAUUGAGCUUAUGGUGUCUCAUGAGUCUAUUGGAACACUGCUUCUCAACAUAUUCAGAUUUUAGUAGAAUACAUGAACUUUAAUUCGAAAAAAAAAGUAUGGAAUUGGAAUCCAUAACUUACAGGUGGCAUGUGGAUUCUACUCUUUCUUUGCAUUUGAAGCUAUUGGAUCAAAAUUGCCAAAUGUUACUAAAUUAUCUGAAUAUUAUUGAAUUUUCUCAUUCUGCUGUUUGCUUUUGAACUCUCCAGGCAUCCAACUAUGGGACUCUUUCAAUCGGCUGGUUAGCUGUUUAAUUUAGAUUUGUAUUUCGCUCAAUAUCUGAAUUUCUUGUUGGACCUCAUGCAAAACUGUUGGAUUUUUUUUUUUUUUUGUCUUAUGAACCAUUUUGAUGGAUUCUUUUCGGUUUUCUGUUUUCUUUUCUUACUUUAGUUUACAGCUGGGAACUCUGCAAAAAGUUGAUGGGUCUCAAUUUGCUGUGAUACAUUCGUUUAAAUAUGAAUUCUUGUUUGGUUUCAUAAAGAAUAUUUUAUUGUUGCAAUGAUGGGUCUUCUUUGCUACUGCAGAGUCUUGAUGGUUGCACCAUUACAUUGAAAAUGUAUUUGGGAAAUGCUAAUUGAAUGGAGUGGUAGCAUGCUACCAUUUUCUCAAAAAAGAAAAAGAAAAAGAAAAAAGAAAAGUAUUUGGAAAAUGUGAAGUGACAAAACCCUGCAGCUAGAUAGCAUGAACUGAUCCUUCUGCCAAUUUUUACAUUAUGUGAGGGGCGUAGCGAACAAUGUGAUGGGAAAGGAGUCAGCAAUGUCUAAUAAUAACAGGGCAAGCCUGCCUGCAAUCCUUCCUAGCCGGUGAAACUACUGGACGAACAGGACUCGUCUUUCUUGCGGGCUCUCUUUCACUGGGAAAGCAACCUACGGAAGUCUUCUCACUUGGAAAACAGCUCACCAUCAUUUGAUGAAAAUAGACAGGUUCAUAAAAAUAAGUACGAAGGCUAUUCAGUGAGUUUAGACGGAAGCAAGCAAAUAGCUGAUAAUGGAAUAAAGAACCAGAGCAAGAGAGUCAAGAUAUCUGAUAGCAGUAGAGAAGAACGUUGCUCUGAUUUAACAAUGAGGCAUAAUUCAAAGCAAAUCUCCUUGUCCAGAGACAGGAGAGCUUGGUUUUGCUAAUUUACAAACUUUGUGCGCCAUAACUUACAUGCAAAGGGGUAGUCUAAUUUGUUCAUGCAAGGAUUUUGCAAGAUACAAACAUCUCUAGUAUGAUUCUUGAACUGUAAUAUUUUUAUCUGAAAAAACUAAUUUUUAUCUGUCCCAACAUGUCCAUUGUGGAGUAUCAUGGACUUUUGUACCUAGAUUGAGACAAUUUCAUAAGUUUCUAUGGGGGUGAUAUGCAUGUCUAUGGGAAUUGGCGAGUUUUUAUUUGCAUGGCAUUAUACAUGGAUGAUCCUAUAAAUGAUAAUUAUCUUCGUCUAAUGCAAAUUAUAGUGUCUAAUUUAAUUAAAUUGAAAAAUCAAUUAGAAUCAGAAUUCAAAGUGUUGCAGAAAAUAUACAUGCAUCUCGAACCUUCGCAUUAAAAGAUAGCUAUAGAGUAAGGAGCACAGGUUCUGGAGGGAGAUAAAUCUCGUUUUUGGACCUAAUAUUCAUUCGCAAAAUUUGGGUAGUGUAAUAUAUGACCAGAAACAUUUUCAGAUGGCAACAUGGCAUCUGCAGCAGCAAGAUCCUCCAUGCUGACCUCUUGCUUUCGGGUGUCACUAAGUUUUGAUUUCGUUGGCUGCAUAAUGGUAGAUGCCUUUGUAAUUGCCGUGGAGGUUCCUUUCGACGAUCAACUUUAUUGCCUCUUUCUUUCUUUUCUUUCCCUUAUAGUUUUUGUGAUUAUGUGAAAGCAUCAACCUACUGCGAAUACUACGUUAAAAUAGCUUGAUUAAAAAUUUACAUGGACCCUCUCAACUAUAGGACAUUUUGAAAUUGAACCCUCAAUUAUUUUUCUUUUGAUUUUGGCUUCCUCAACUUUUGAUUAUUUUGAUUCAUGUUAUUUUCACUAGAUAAUUUGGGUUUGUCAAACAGCCUUUAUUUUUAACGAUUCUCCUGUUCUAAUGUAUGAAACUAAUCAAAUAAAAAACAAUUAAAAUUUUGAGGGAAUAUCAAUCAGAAGAAAAGCAGUUGAGGGGUCUAUUUUGAAAUAACCUAUAGGUUUGAGGGGGGAUCCCUAUAACUUUUUCCCAAAAGGUUUUCUGCUUUUAACAAUCCAUGUUUACUUCAUCUUUUAUUCCAGCACUCGUAUGGCUGAGCUUUGCUUUAAAUAUUGUGAUAUUUGAAACAAUUCGGCUAAUUGGUAUCUCAGUCUUCCUACUUACUGCUAAAUUUGCUUCAGUAUCCAGCAUCAUAUAUUUUACUUGAUGACGCUGUAAUAUAUGUUGAUUUUGUGAUCCUCUAUUACUUUAAUGUAGUGCGUGUAUAGCACAAAAGUUGUCUGAUUAGAACUUCUUCGCUUUUAGUCAUUUCAUGUUAUUUUUUCUUAACUUGCAAGUGUGCAUAAGAACUUACAGCUACUUGCUGGAUACAUGCCUGAAUUUUGUAAGAAAAUCAUUGUAAGUUGUGUUGGGAAUUUGACUACGUUUACAGAGGAUUUUUUCCAUCCCUAUGUUAGGAAUGUGACUAGGUUUACAGAGUAUUUUAUCCCUACCUAUGUGAAUUUCAUAUAUGGUGAAUUUUUAUUCUCUUUUUUUUUGUUUUUCUCUCUCAACUUUAUUUAAUAAUUUGUUUUUUGUAGACUUUUGUAUUUUUGACUGUCAUGUAAGGGUACCCCACGGAUGGUUCUUAAAGAGAGAGAGAGAAGAAAAGGGGAAAUUUCUUUGAUUUGUUACAUGAUAGCAGAAUCUGAGUGAUUGGCAAGUAUCUUCUGUAUGAUAGGAGCAAAUUUCUCUUGCAGGUGCUUUAUCGGAAGUGCACUGCUUUAAUAAUGUCGGAAUAUAACAAAGUAUGCCUCUAUAACCUUUCCUCUGCAUAUAUUCCCUUACAAACCGAAUUCAUUAAAUUAAUUAUCAUGCUACGUAACUGCCACACAUAUUCUUGCUAUAUCAGCAAGGCAAAUUUUCAGUAUCUGGGUGAUAGUUGAAAAAGAUGCUUGGAUUGUAUGAGCAAGUUAUAGCCUUUUGUUUAGAAGCCCCCACAUAAACUGUUAACGAGUAAGUAGUUGGAGUUCAGUUUUGUAAUGAAUAUUUAGCGACAGAGUAUUUGUUUCUUGCUAAAUUUUUUUUUUUAACCAUACUCCGGGCUGAGACGAAUUGUGGAGUCCAAGGGAAAGUCUAAACUUGAGAGGAUAAUAUCUUUGGAGCAUUGUUAAGGAUUUUCUAAGUUGGCGAAUUUCGUGAAGCCGAAUGGAGUCUUGAAGAGUUAAAAGCGAAGUUUUGGAGAAAAGAUUCAAUUUGGAGAUCAAAAACUCAUUCGGGAAGCUCGGCACCUCAGGUAUGAAAGAUAGAUCAUUUGUGGUGACUCUAGAUGUUCAAAAUGUAUGUAGAAGACUUAGAUUGCAUUAUUGCGUUUUGAAAUAACUGAUCUUAAUUUAUCAGGGUUCAGGGACCGGUCCCUGAUCAGAGGGACCGGACGCCGUAGGUCCUCUCUGCAUAAAGAAACGAUGCAACCGGUAUGUGGUAAUGAGGGACCGGUCCCCGUAAGCUGGUUUUCAUGUGCGCAUCAAGGGACCGGACCCUGAAUUAAGGACCGGUUCCCGUACGCAAAGCUUUUUGGUUACGCAGAGAGAGACCGGUCUUUGGAAUGAAGACCGGUCCCAGUAGCAGUUUUUUUUCAGCUACGCAACGAAAGACCGAUCCCUGAGAUGAAAGACCGGUUCCCGUAGCAUGUGUUUUCUGCUACGCAACGAGGGACCGGUCCCUGGCUUGAAGGACCGGACCCUGAGAGACAGGACCCCUCGGGAGGACCGGACCCUGAAACCGUAAUUGUUUCCAAAAAUGACUUUUGCAAUCCUAGUCUACUUCUAAGUCUUCUAAAUUUAUAAAUAAGCUAUGGUGGUUACAUUAUGACUAAGGCUUUGGAGUUUAGACCUUUAUGAAACCCUAGAAACUUGUUUUUGAGCUUUAUGAUUCUAUUCUUAAAGCAAGUUUCAAAUUGUUGAUCGAUGACUUGAUUCUUAGGUUUAUAAUUUGAAUGUUCCUUUGAGAAUCAAGUUGAUGAUUGACUAAAAGGGAAUUCUUCAUAGCUUAUGGUUUUCUAAGUUUCAAUCACCACAAAUUAUCUUCUCUACGAGCUCCGGAUGGAGGAUUGGUGCGUGGACUUCGCGUGAAGGCCGUGGAUUCGGUGGGCGCUUCGUGGAUUUGAGGUGUGUUUGCUGUGAGGGCUUGCAGCGUGAUCAGUUGAAGGAGUUCGAUCGAUUGAGGACCGGCGAAGAUAAUCUACAUCGAGGAUUCGGUAAAUUGAGUCAUGUAUUUUCGGUAAAUCACUUGUACUCAAUUGUUUCUAUAGUGGAUUUAUCGCGUGAUCGGUCACGUGGGUUUUUUCUCCAAAUUAGAGUUUUUCCACGUUAAAUCUCGGUGUGUUGUUUUUGAUUUCCGCUUUUACUUUAAAUUCGCAUCGGGAGUUUUGAUUUUGCCGUUUAUACCUAUUCACCCCCCUUUAUGUGUUAUUUACCUUUUAGAUCUUUGGGAUCCAUAUCUUUCAUGGAGCAAUGAUAAAACGGCUCAAUGAUGGGAUAAUAUCUUUGGAGCAGUCAUAAAAUGGCUCAACGAUGAUUUACUUGUCAAGAAUGACGAGUAGAUCCGACUAGAGCCUCGACUAUGACUACCCAAAUAUUUCUUGCUUUUGCAAAUGAAGAGCACCACUCUACCUUCAUGUUAGUGGCAUAAUGCAACUUUCUAAGUUGGUAAUCAUGCUUUUAAGUUAAUGCUUUUGUAGAGAGAGUGAGAAUUGAACCUUUUGUAAAAACGAAGAAUCUGACAUUCAUUAAAUGAAUAGAGGUACGCAAUGCAAAUCCAUGAUCUUUCGCCUCAUUUCUUGUUUAAUUUUCAAGGGAAAUUCCUUUUUUUUUACUUGAAACAGGCAUAAUUCAAAACAAAUCUUCUUGUCCGGUUUGAAAUGAAGUUUGAGCCUGUUUUUACUAAUCUAUGAAACUUGUGCACAACAAGUCUUUAAAAAACUUUUUUUUUUUCUCUGAAAGGUUUGAUUAACCGUUUUAUCUGAAAACGGCAUAAUCCAAAACAGAUCUCCUUGUCCAGUUGAAAUGGAAUUCGAACCUGUUUUUGCAAGCAUUCAAAGAAAGAACUUUUGCAUUCAAGGAGAAAGUUGAACUUGUUCAUGCAAAGAUCUCUCGUCGGACUCCGAUUGCGCUAGAACAUUACGGAAGGCUUUUAGAUUUGGUCAUAGAGCCAGCUCUCAAACUCGUGGAGUAAGUUAGCGGUGUGAAACUGCUAAACAAAGUAAUUGAAUCGAACCAAUGGUUUAGGUCUGAUUUAGAUUUUCUUUAUCAUUUUGAGAAAAAAAAACUGGUUGGGUUUUAGGUCAAUAGGGUAGUCACUGAAUUAUUUUGAUUCAGCUUUUUGUUCUGAUCGUGAUUCUGCUGUGUUUGAUUUUUGUUACUGCUUUUAUUCAUGGUUCAUGAACUUUCCGUUUGAAGGAAAAAAUUGAGGAAUUUGCGGAUUUUUUGCCUCUGGAGAAGAGGAUUUAGGUGCUCUUAUUCCUAGUAGCAUAUCUGAUCUGAUUUUUUAUUUUUUAAAAUUUUGAAACAACUUUCUAUAUUACUCCUAAUUUUACUUUAUAGUACCUUUUUACAGUUCUAGCUGUAUUUACCUGCAGGUAGCUGAUUGAUAAAUGAACGAGAAGAAAAGGGUUUAGGUAGUAAAUCUGAUGCUUCAACCAAAGUACUAGAACUAGGUGACUCUUUUCAUCUGAUGUGCUAUUUGUGUUUGUGAAUUCUGUGCAUGAUUCUAUCUUAACAUCACUUGUAGCCACACAGGAGAAGGGGAAUUUAUGUAUUGUCUCCUUAGUGACCAACAAUUGGAAAUUUGUUUAAGGAUUUACCUGUAUGGGCUCUCUAACCUCAUCAUGAGUCUGAGGCAAAACAUUUUGCUUCUACUAUUUGAUUGGCUUUGUUGUGUUUAAUUACGCUGAAGAUUAUUUGAUUUAUGUGCUUCUUA